AAAAACUUAAUUGCAAAAGACAUUAAAAGGCGGAGGGUCUAAAAGCGCAAUUUACCCCUCCGCUAAAAAACACGCGGAUCCUAGGCUGGGUCGAGUCGGAUUCGGGUCAACCCAGAUUCAAAACGACGUCGUUUUGAAGAGGCUAUUUAAGCCAAAUAAUCCUUCAAAAAAAUCAUUUCAAACCCAUUUAAAAAAAAGAACAAAAAAAUCUCUGAAAAGCUCUUCCCCCCUGCUUGUCCGGUC
rnacentral:lncRNA from 1 species